rnacentral:lncRNA from 1 species
UUCGGCAUAUCAAAGAACCCCAAUUAUUCAAUUUGGAUGAAAUCAAACAAAGUUUAAUUUUGGACCCUUUGGGCCCCUUAUUCUGUUGGGACCAAAACUCCCAAAAUCAAUACCAACCUUCCUUUUAUGGUCAUAAACCUUGUGUUUAAAUUUCAUAGAUUUCUAUUUACUUAUACUAACGUUAUGGUGCGAAAACCAAGAAUAAUGCUUAUUUGGGUCCCUUUUUGGCCCCUAAUUCCUAAACUGUUGGGACCUAAACUCCCAAAAUCAAUACCAACCUUCCUUUUGUAGUCAUUAACAUUGUGUUUAAAUUUCAUUGAGUUCUAUUUACUUAAACUAAAGUUAUUGUGCGAAAACCAAGAAUAAUGCUUAUUUGGGCCCUUUUUUGGCCCCUAAUUCCUAAACUGUUGAAACCAAAACUCCCAAAAUCAAUCCCAACCGUUCUUUUGUGGUCAUAAACCUUGUGUCAAAAUUUCAUAGAUUUUUAUUAACUUAAACUAAAGUUAUAGUGCGAAAACCAAGAAAAUGCUUAUUUGGGCCCUUUUUGGCCCCUAAUUCCUAAAGUGUUGGGACCAAAACUCCCAAAAUCAAUACCAACCUUCCUUUUGUGGUCAUAAACCUUGUGUUAAAAUUUCAUAGAUUUCCAUUCACUUUUACUAAAGUUAGAGUGCGAAAACUAAAAGUAUUCGGACGACGACGACGACGACGACGACGACGACGACGCCAAUGUGAUAGCAAUAUACGACGAAAAAUUUUUCAAAUUUUGUGGUCGUAUAAAAAUCUAAACUUUUUUUUCA